rnacentral:rRNA from 1 species
ACGUAGGGGGCAAGCGUUGCUCGGAAUUACUGGGCGUAAAGGGUGUGUAGGUGGCUGAUUAAGUUAUGGAUGAAAUCCCGAGGCUCAACUUCGGAACUGUCCUUGAUACUGGUCAGCUUGAGUCUAGUAAAGGAAGACGGAAUUCCCGGUGUAGCGGUGAAAUGCGCAGAUAUCAGGAGGAACACCGAAAGCGAAGGCAGUUCUCUAAGCUGUCCCUGACGCUAAGCCGCGAAGGUUAGGGUAGCAAACAG